GUUUGAACUGUUAGUUGCACUUCAAAUGUUUGGUUGCGAUGAGCUCCUGGCAUGGCUAGGAAAUUUAUACUCCAGUUUGUGCAUCUACUUGUGAAUUCUACAGAAAUAGUCACUCACUGCAAUGUACCAUGUACUUCUAUCCUCACAAAGUAAAUUUGUACUUAGGUGAUAUUCUGGAGGCGAAGAAGUACCUUGGCGCAUGCUUUCCUCACAUCUCUAAAUUGAUCGAUGAUAAUCCCACUAUAGCACAUGGCACUUAUGAGUAUCUCCUUACAUCUCUGCAGGAAUACUUUGAUGGUGAAGAACUUGAUCUGUCCAUUGAUACUAAGCAUUAUUUGGCGUCUUUAGCUUGCUUCAGGCUGAUGAAUUUGAAGGCAACGAAUUUGGGUUUUAUCAUCACUAUUGUUGAGUCCUUUGUAUCAGAUUUGGAAAGGAAAAGAGAUCACUUGAUGGAGCGACCAUGAUUUUUGAGUCGCUGAGUCAAGUCAAAUCGCCAAGGCUGAGACUCCUGACUUGCUGACUUGACUCAGCGACUAGGGCUUGUAUAGUCGCCCCAAGUCGCCUGCAGUAAACGACCAAAAUACUCUCAUUUGCGAAGCCCAUUAAGGCCACAUGAGCAAAAUUGGCGUGGUCAUCUAUCCCAGCCAGGCUGACCAGGCCCAGCACGGCCCAGCUAACAACUCCCAGGCUCACCUCUCACUUAACCUAGCAAUUACAUGAAUCGAUCCUCCAAGCGCCGCCAGCCGCACUCAGGCACGCAAGCUCGCUCGAGCCUCUCACCUCUCCCCUAUUCUUCCUCUGCGACGCCGGCGAGGAGCAGCGGCGACCGGCGGCAGACGGCGGCGGCUCGAGCCUCUCCUCCUGAGCUCAGCCCUUUCUUUCCCAUCCCAUCCCCUUCUCUCUGAAAUACCGACACAGGGAGAGAUCCCCCACAAAAAUUUUCUGGCUGACAAACAGGGGUGACCGACGACUAUUCCCCGCCGAGGUAUAGUCGCUGUAUAGCCGCCGGCGAGCCAGGAAGUCGCGCGACUCGCUCGCUGAGUCAAGUCGCUAGUGCGGCUCGUCCAUGGCAGAACGACUUGGCGAUUAGUCGGCGAUUAGUCGCCGACUCAAAAAUCAUGGGAGCGACUCACGCUCCCAACAUUGAUAGGUGCUGCUUCUGCAAACUAGGGUCCGGUGAUCACCAUGUUGCACAUGAAGGGAGUCUGUCUCGGUAGUCAUAGUCCUCUUUCAUUGCUACUUCGUCCAGUUUGUCGGAAUCGAAACUGAGAUGUUAGCUCAAUGUGCCCGUAAACAUGGUGUCCGGAGGGCAAGUUGGGCAGCUUUAGGCAACAAUGCUCACAUGCCUGAAUAUUUUCGUGAAACUUGUGAUGUUGUUGUGCACUCGUGCCCCUAGUUUCUAGUGAUGCUAUUGUCGCGGUAUUUGUUAGUUGCUCGUCUUUUGGUAACCGUUGAAUCAAACUAUACUGAAAUUUGAAUUAUGUCUGCCAUUUUGGGUUUA